rnacentral:lncRNA from 1 species
CUCACCUUCCUAGAAUAUCAGGAAAUGCCUGAGGCAUAACAGAUAGUAAGCCUAAAAAUGACCCAAGACCGGACGUAGUCUGUGGCGUGCAGUGUAAUGGAGUUUGUGGUCAGCGUUCAGGUUAUGGCGAGAGCGGUACCCAUAACCUUCCACCCUUUUUGUUGGGAAUGAAUGACGGGAGUCUGCACCCGCCCCCACCCCAUGGUGCAGAGUGGCUUGUCAGACCCUCCAUAGAAUAGAGACAGGCUUCAAAGACUAUUUAGUACUUAUUAGCAGUUUUUACCCUUUUUAUCAUGAUUCAUGUGGUAGAGCAAGCUCGCCUGACACCUUUAUAAUGGAGUACUUCAGUAUAAGAUUAGUGCCCCAGAGAUACUCAGAGUUCAAGAGCAAUGCAGCCUCCCUGUUUUGGUAGGUUGUUAGCGAGGCUGUUGUGGGAGGGGAGGGCCUGUAGAUGGAAUGAUUUGUAAGCUGGGAAAGGAAAAAAUCUAGGUUUUUCUUUUUUUGGACCAUCACUGGG